rnacentral:rRNA from 1 species
CCUACGGGAGGCUGCAGUGAGGAAUAUUGGUCAAUGGCCGAGAGGCUGAACCAGCCAAGUCGCGUGAGGGAAGAAGGCCCUCGGGUUGUAAACUUCUUUUGUCAGGGACGAAGAAAGUGACGGUACCUGACGAAUAAGCCACGGCUAACUACGUGCCAGCAGCCGCGGUAAUACGUAGGUGGCAAGCGUUAUCCGGAUUUACUGGGUGUAAAGGGCGUGUAGGCGGGACUGCAAGUCAGAUGUGAAACUCCAGGGCUCAACCCUGGAACUGCAUUUGAAACUGUAGUUCUUGAGUGAUGGAGAGGCAGGCGGAAUUCCGUGUGUAGCGGUGAAAUGCGUAGAUAUACGGAGGAACACCAGUGGCGAAGGCGGCCUGCUGGACAUUAACUGACGCUGAGGCGCGAAAGCGUGGGGAGCAAACAGGAUUAGAUACCCGUGUAGUC